UACGGAGGGUGCAAGCGUUGUUCGGAAUUAUUGGGCGUAAAGCGCACGUAGGCGGCCUUUUAAGUCUCGUGGUGAAAUGCCGGGGCUCAACCCCGUGCCCGCCAGGGAUACUGGAAGGCUGGAGACAGGUAGAGGCGAGCGGAAUUCCGGGUGUAGCGGUGGAAUGCGUAGAGAUCCGGAAGAACACCAGAGGCGAAGGCGGCUCGCUGGACCUGUUCUGACGCUGAGGUGCGAAAGCGUGGGGAGCGAACAGG
rnacentral:misc_RNA from 1 species